rnacentral:rRNA from 1 species
AUGCCUCUCUCUCUCUCUCUCGCUGUCUGGUUUUUUUUUUUUGAGGUAUCUCGCUGUCUAGUUGUGGAGGCACAUUCGUUUUGUUCUAUUCUCUUCUCGCUUGGCUUUCUCCAUCUCCUCGGGAUUCUUUCGUGUGUUUGUUUCUUUUGUUCUCUUUCGAUCCCUUCUCUGAUAAAUGUAACAGGCAUGGAUAAAUGUUCAGAGCGCUCCCUUCGUCGAGUACCGUGUGUGUGUUCUUUCCUGCGCGCGAUGCGGUGCAUGCAUGUCUCUCUUGCUUUCUGUCCAUGGGAAAGCGCGCUUAACCUCCGAGUGUAUGUAACCUUCAUCAUCUCCUAA